UACGUAGGGUGCGAGCGUUAAUCGGAAUUACUGGGCGUAAAGCGUGCGCAGGCGGUUAUUUAAGUCAGGUGUGAAAGCCCUGGGCUUAACCUAGGAAUUGCGCUUGAGACUGGCACGCUCGAGUUCGGGAGAGGAUGGUGGAAUUCCCAGUGUAGAGGUGAAAUUCGUAGAUAUUGGGAAGAACACCGAUGGCGAAGGCAGCCAUCUGGACCGACACUGACGCUGAGGCGCGAAAGCGUGGGGAGCAAACAGG
rnacentral:rRNA from 1 species